CACAGGGAGAGAAAAGCCAACUCAGUGUCUAUGAACCAGCUUAAACAGAAUGGAUGAGCAGCUCAGCCAAUAGGAAAGAAUGAGCUACGCCAUGGAAUGGCCCUCGUCAGGUGCUGGCCCUGUGCUGUUGGACUUUUCAGCCUCCAAAACUUAUCCUCAGAGGACGCCACAGCAGAGGAAAUAGGCUCAUUACCUUUGCAGCUUUGAACAACAGAGACACCAUCCCUGGCGGGCCCUUCGGUUUCACAGAAGGCAGAAGAAGCUUUGAAAUCCCUGCUUUUCCCUGGCCAGGUGCCCUCACCCUAACCUCUGAAAGCAGAAGGGAGGCAUGAUGAGGAUUUAUGGCCUCUCCGCACAUUGCAAUGCCCCCAGGGUGGCCAAGAGUGUUGGUUCUGCCUGUUACAGAUGCAUGAAGUAUAUCAGGGGUCAUGAUUUAUGGGACCACAGCAAGAUUUCAUCUGGAAUAACGUUUACUUGUAUUCAGAGGAGGAAAAGUAACUGACCUUUGCCUUCCUGCAGCCCUUCCCUAAUUCUGACACAAUGGCUCCGGGAGAAAAUGAUCAAUUUCCUCACAAAAACCCUUUCCUGCGGCAGACAGAGCUUCACAGGCUCGGAGCAUUGCACAGAGUAUCUGGUUUUCCCCUUUCCAUUACUCAAGCACUCACUGUAUUGUGGAAGGUUGAA